AACGUAGGAGACGAACGUUAUCCGGAGUUACUGGGCGUAAAGCGCACGUAGGCGGAUAUUUAAGUCAGGGGUGAAAUCCCAGAGCUCAACUCUGGAACUGCCUUUGAUACUGGGUAUCUUGAGUAUGGAAGAGGUAAGUGGAAUUGCGAGUGUAGAGGUGAAAUUCGUAGAUAUUCGCAGGAACACCAGUGGCGAAGGCGGCUUACUGGUCCAUUACUGACGCUGAGGUGCGAAAGCGUGGGGAGCAAACAGG
rnacentral:rRNA from 1 species